ensembl:lncRNA
GCAAACCAUUGUUGGAAACUCAGAAGCGAAGACCAGGAGACUCUUGGGUAUCUUCAGCAGGAUUCUUUAUUCUUUAUCAAAAGUCUGACUAAUAAGGCAGGCAUUCAUUGUAUUUUCCAGGCAUUCAGUGGGCCGUCCUUAAAGAUGUCAACCAAACACACAGCCUCAGAAGUGACCACUUAAACAGAAACAUCUGAAGACAAUACAGGCAAUCACCUCCAGCCGUGAGCUGCAGUAAACAUAGUCCCUAAAGAUAAGAGUCGGUGAGAUCAAACAGAUCCCCAGCAUGCCUAAACCCCAUAGACAUUACUGUAAAUCAGCACUGUCUGCCAUUAUAUAGAUGAGCGCACGGGACAUUUCUAAAAAAAAAUCUUGUAAAUGAUGAGUAAAUGAUGACUUCAUUAUCAUUUGUGGGCGACUGUCCCUUUAACAGAAAGCCUCAGUCAAAAACAUACACACACUUGCAUUACACAGUCCACUCUACAGUAAACGUUUAUUACAGCCACAAAUUAUUUUAUACAGCAUUUGUAUGCUAACAUUUUUAACAUAAACUAUAAUGAUUCAAUGUUGUUUUUUAUGUACAGUAUACAAUCUCGUUUAACACUAGAUGAAACAGAACUUGAAGUGAGAAUGUCAAAAGGACACUUUUGCACUCAUAUAGUCUGGAUCAAGGCAUCUCAAACAGAUAUAGUUGAAUCUAGGUACCAAAGACCAGAGAUCUUGAAUGUUGUAUGGGAAACACAUGCUAUGCAUAUUCCUUUGGCUCGUCUAGACUGAUUUCAGUGAAGAUCUCUUCUGCUGUUCCUCGCCCUGUAAUGCAUAAAACCCAAUGACAUUACAGUAUCACCCAUGCAUGGACCAAAAAUGUAGAACUUUUUUUUUUUUUAACAUAAGAGGCCAAAAUCAUUCUACAGGCAUGUUGAGCGAUGAAUUUUUUUGGUUGUACUGACCAGCAUUACUGACGUUAUUGUUGUUUUCAUUUUGCGCCGCAUCUGUUGCUUCAGCUUCGGUCGGACCACUAAAUUCAGAUUCACUUCCAAGCAGAUCCAGAUCCAGGUUAAACUCCACUUUCUUCAUUGGCGUAGACAAGCUCGAGUUUGAAGAGAAACUGUUCUCUUCUGGAGCAUUCUGGUCAUCUUUAAGAUUACAGACAUACUUUUUUCACCAUGGAAA